GACGAACGCUGGCGGCGUGCUUAACACAUGCAAGUCGAACGGAAAGGCCUGCUUUCCCUUGUGGAUUGCGGGUACUCGAGUGGCGAACGGGUGAGUAACACGUGAGUGAUCUGCCCCCAACUUGGGUAUAAGCCUGGGAAACUGGGUCUAAUUACCGAUAGGACUGCAGGGUGGUGCAUGUGGUGGAAAACGAUUUUCUAGUGGUUGGGGAUGAGCUCGCGGCCUAUCAGCUUGUUGGUGUGGUAAUGGCCUACCAAGGCGGCGACGGGUAGCCGGCCGGAGAUCGUGGACAGCCACAUUGGGACUGGGAUACGGCCCAGACGCCUACGGGAAGCAGCAGAUGGGAAGAUAGGGGAAUGAGCGGGAGCCUGAAACAGCGACGCAGCGAGGAGGGUGUCGGGCUUCGGGAUCUAAGCUCCUUGCGACCAAGAGAAAGCCACCUGGUUGUAAGGGUGGUGACGGUAGUGGUAGAAAAAGCACCGGCUAACUACGUG
rnacentral:rRNA from 1 species